CACGUAGGGUGCGAGCGUUGUCCGGAAUUAUUGGGCGUAAAGAGCUCGUAGGCGGUGUGUCGCGUCGGCCGUGAAAACCUGCAGCUUAACUGUGGGCUUGCGGUCGAUACGGGCAUCACUGGAGUUCGGCAGGGGAGACUGGAAUUCCUGGUGUAGCGGUGAGAUGCGCAGAUAUCAGGAGGAACACCCGGUGGCGAAGGCGGGUCUCUGGGCCGAUACUGACGCUGAGGAGCGAAAGCGUGGGGAGCGAA
rnacentral:rRNA from 1 species